rnacentral:rRNA from 1 species
GAUGAACGCUGGCGGUAUGCUUAACACAUGCAAGUCGAACGGACUCUUCGGAGUUAGUGGCGGACGGGUGAGUGACGCGUGAGAAUCUGGCUUUGGGUUCGGGACAACCACUGGAAACGGUGGCUAAUACCGGAUGUGCCGAGAGGUAAAAGAGAAAUUGCCUGAAGAUGAGCUCGCGUCUGAUUAGCUAGUUGGUGAGGUAAAGGCUCACCAAGGCAGCGAUCAGUAGCUGGUCUGAGAGGAUGACCAGCCACACUGGGACUGAGACACGGCCCAGACUCCUACGGGAGGCAGCAGGGGGGAAUUGUCCGCAAUGGGCGAAAGCCUGACGGAGCAAUACCGCGUGAGGGAAGAAGGCUCUUGGGUUGUAAACCUCUUUUCUUAGGGAAGAACAAAAUGACGGUACCUAAGGAAUCAGCAUCGGCUAACUCCGUG